rnacentral:rRNA from 1 species
UUGACCUCGGAUCAGGUAGGGAUACCCGCUGAACUUAAGCAUAUCAAUAAGCGGAGGAAAAGAAACCAACCGGGAUUGCCCCAGUAACGGCGAGUGAAGCGGCAAGAGCUCAAAUUUGAAAUCUGGCCCCUCCGGGGUCCGAGUUGUAAUUUGCAGAGGAUGCUUCGGGUGCGGCCCCUGUCUAAGUGCCCUGGAACGGGCCGUCAGAGAGGGUGAGAAUCCCGUCUUGGGCAGGGUGCCCGUGCCCGUGUGAAGCUCCUUCGACGAGUCGAGUUGUUUGGGAAUGCAGCUCUAAAUGGGUGGUAAAUUUCAUCUAAAGCUAAAUACCGGCCGGAGACCGAUAGCGCACAAGUAGAGUGAUCGAAAGAUGAAAAGCACUUUGAAAAGAGAGUUAAACAGCACGUGAAAUUGUUGAAAGGGAAGCGCUUGCGACCAGACUCGGCCUCGGGGUUCAGCCAGCAUUCGUGCUGGUGUACUUCCCCGGGGCCGGGCCAGCGUCGGUUCGGGCGGCCGGUCAAAGGCCCCAGGAAUGUAUCGUCCUCCGGGACGUCUUAUAGCCUGGGGUGCAAUGCGGCCAGCCUGGACCGAGGAACGCGCUUCGGCACGGACGCUGGCGUAAU